rnacentral:rRNA from 1 species
CCUACGGGCGGCAGCAGUGGGGAAUAUUGCACAAUGGGCGAAAGCCUGAUGCAGCAACGCCGCGUGAGUGAUGAAGGCCUUCGGGUCGUAAAACUCUGUCCUCAAGGAAGAUAAUGACGGUACUUGAGGAGGAAGACCCGGCUAACUACGUGCCAGCAGCCGCGGUAAUACGUAGGGGGCUAGCGUUAUCCGGAUUUACUGGGCGUAAGGGGUGCGUAGGCGGUCUUUCAAGUCAGGAGUGAAAGGCUACGGCUCAACCGUAGUAAGCGCUUGAAACUGGGGGACUUGAGUGCAGGAGAGGCGGAUGGAAUUCCUAGUGUAGCGGUGAAAUGCGUAGAUAUUAGGAGGAACACCAGUUGCGAAGGCGGCUCGCUGGACUGUAACUGACGCUGAGGCACGAAAGCGUGGGGAGCAAACAGGAUUAGAUACCCGAGUAGUC